CCCCGCCCCACUCCGCCCCGCCCCUCCCGGACGUGUUCCCGCGCCCUCCUUCUCCUUCCGCUGCCUCCCCAGGUCCGGGGAUCCCACCGGGACCGGGCGCCCGAGGUGCCUGCCCAGAGCGGAGCUAUGAGCAGUUGCAGGCGGGACGUCAAUGAGGAGUUCAACGAACAGCUGAGGCUCCAGCAGCUCCAAGAGGAGGCCAAGCUCGCGGCCGGCGGCUCGCCGGAGGGCCCCGAGGGCGAUGACCCUUACACGUUCGUGGACCCGGCGGAUGGCACCGCCUACGAGUGGGACCGGGACAAGAAAGCUUGGUUCCCUAAGAUUACGGAGGAUUUCCUUGCCAAUUACCAGGCUAACUAUGGGUUCCCUGCCGAUAGCUCCUCUUCUUCCGGUGGGCAAAAAGAGAACCCGGCUGAGGUGGAUGUGAAAGCUUCCCAAAAAGCUGCGGACCAGAAAGCCACACAGAACGCUGAAAAGAAGCAGAAAGGCGAAAAAAGAAAGCCUGAGCCGGGGUGGUUUCAUGUGGAGGAAGACAAGAACACCAACGUGUAUGUGACUGGCUUGCCUCCAGACAUUACAAAAGAUGAAUUUGUACAGCUCAUGUCCAAAUGUGGCAUCAUCAUGAGAGACCCGCAGACGGAAGAAUACAAAAUCAAACUCUAUAAAGAUAAGCAAGGCAAUCUUAAAGGAGAUGGACUUUGCUGUUACUUGAAGAGAGAAUCUGUGGAUCUGGCAUUAAGACUUCUGGAUGAUGAUGAAAUCCGAGGCUACAAACUGCAUGUGGAAAUGGCAAAGUUUCAGCUAAAGGGAGAGUACGAUGCCAGCAAAAAGAAGAAGAAAUGCAAAGACUACAGGAAAAAGAUGUCCCAGCAACAAAAGCAGCUGGAUUGGCGGCCCGAGAAGAAAGCCACCACCACGCGAAUGCGGCAUGAGCGGGUGGUUAUCAUCAAGAACAUGUUCCACCCCAAGGAUUUCGAGGCUGACCCGCUGGUACUAAAUGAGAUCCGGGAAGACCUGCGAACAGAGUGUGAAAAGUUCGGGCAAGUCAAGAAGGUCCUUCUCUUUGACCGACACCCGGACGGGGUGGCCUCCGUGUCCUAUAAGGAACCCGAGGAAGCUGACCUGUGCAUUCAAGCCCUCAACGGCAGGUGGUUUGGUGGUCGCCAAUUAAACGUGGAAGUGUGGGAUGGAGUGACUGAUUUUCAGGUGGAGGAGACAUCAAGAGAGAGGGAAGAAAGACUGAAAGGUUGGGAGUCUUUUUUAGAGCAUCAUAACAAACAGAAAGAAACGGAUUCCUCUGAUCCAAAUUCUGCUUCCGGAAGUGUGGGCCUGGGAAAAGGGAAGCCGUCCCUGGCGGAUAUGACCUCACCUGGAACAAAGGAGGAAGCUGGUAAUGGGGAAUGCAGUAGAGGAGGGAUCCAGUCUAAGGACAGCAGCUUGGGCCUGAGUGAUAAUCAAGACCAGGCAUGCCAUUAACCCCUUAAGCAUGCUUUUGUAGGGCAAUGUUUGGAUUUCUUUCUUUGUGCUUCGGGGUGAUUACUGGUAGUGUUUCCAUGAAUACAUGCAUAUUAAUCAGAUGUCAUCCACUUAGUGCUUUGAAGUUUUCAUUAAAAGCAGUAUUUAAUGAGGAACUAAAAAUAUGUUAAUGGGCUGACCUAGUGAAACAUCCCCAAGUCCCUGGUACAGAGUGAACAGAACUUGUUCAUGUCAAUUCCUUGCUUGUAAAGUCUCUAAAGGUAUCUAUGUGUGAAGUAGGUUGUAGUCUAACUUCAAAAUUUGUGAUCAUAAAACUAAAGAUAAUUUGAUAAUUAAAUUGAAUUUAAGGCUUAAGUUGAAUUUUAAAUACGACUAUUAAAUGUUUUUCUAUUUUUAAACAAAGAAAUGAUGAUAUUGAGCAAGCUAGGAAGACAUAUGAACUGAUGCAGAGGGAAGUGAGCAGAACCAGUAGAACAGUAUAUACAGGAACAACAGUAUUGUGAAGGCAAACAACUGAAAGACUUAAGUACUCUGAUCAUCGUGAUAACCAACCGUGAUUCCAGAGAACCCAUUAUGAAACAUGCUACCCAUCUCUUGACUGAGAGGUGAUGGACUCAGGGUGCAGAAUGAGACAUAUAUUUUUUGGACAUGACCAAUGCAGGAAUUUGUUUUGCUUGACUAUGCAUAUUUGUUACAAGGGUUUUGCUUUGUUUUGUUUUUAGCGGGAGAGGGGAGGUGGGAGGGAGAGAAUAGAUUUUUGUUAAUUGAAAAAAAGAAAAUUUAAUUUAAAAAAAAAAAAGGAAAAGAAAAAUAGCUGGACCAGACAAAUUAUACACUAAGAAAUCUAUACUGGACUUAAUAUAUUUUUCAAAACAUUGAGGGAUUGAUUUUUCAAUAUAUUUCAAAGAAGUAAAUGAAAUGAUUGGAAGAAACCAUGGAUGGUAUUUCUUCAAACAUUUCAAUCCUUUAAUAGACUUUCAUCUUAUCAGUGUGGGUAUUCUCUUCACUGUUGAAGAUUGCAACCUAACUUAAUUUCCUUUCACAUCCCUCCAUAACCCCCAUCUCCACCUCCACCCCCAAGGAACUUGAUGGUAGUGUUGGGGGCCUUCCUCCAUGUCUCUUGACAUUGAUUACCUUCACUUUCCCUUUGUGAUUGGCCCUCUCUUUCUGUUAAUAUACCUCUCUGAUAACAGUCUUCAUGCUACUUCUCCUGUGGAAUUCUUCAUUGAUAAUGUGUUAAGAGUAUCAUCACCCAAAAAAUGGUGACUGAGAGGACAUUAGCAACAACUGACCUAUAUAGUUAUGUGUUCAUCUCUGUAAAAUUGUUGAGAUUAACUUAUGUACAUACGUAGAGUGUCCUUGAUGAAAAUAUAAGAAGGGAAGACAUGGGCUCUUGUAGACAAUUUUCUACAACAGACCACAUCUUUGCAGUCACAUAAUUGAUUGAAAGGUAUGGGGAAUACAUGAUCCUACUGUGUUUAUUGUUAUUACCAAAAAAAAAGUUUGAGUAAAGUACAAUAAAAAAAAAUUUCUAAAACUCAUACCAGAUUCUGUGAUAAAUGUAACCACAGGAAUUAUGUUGUACAACAGUUCUUCCCUCAUUGAAUGUAAGCUCCUUAAGGACAAGGGUUAUUUUGAAUAAAUGCUUGUAGAUUGA